rnacentral:lncRNA from 1 species
AGAAAGCAAAGAAACAAAAAGACAACAGGUUUCUCAACAAGAGAAGAGAAAAUGAAAAACUGCAACUUAGUGAAUUGAGAAAGCCUAGAAUACAUCGACAGCGUCCUAGAUUAAGAGUGCCAUAUCAUACAAAAUGAUGUCUAGAAAGAAAGAUUUCAAUAUCACUACCGUGAAAAACAAUUUCAUCUUCACCGAUGAAUAAACUUUUGGCUUACCACAAGUGGUAUCAACCCAUAAACUAAAGACUUAGCAUAGUAGGCAUAUCUAAUACACAACAUGUAUCUGUAUAUAUGAGAAUUCUAAUAAAUGGAUAAAUAAAUAAUCUCCUAGUGAAAAUUAGAGAAUAAUAAUUAAAAACCAAGAAGUCAAGUAAUUACUAGAAAAAUUCAAGAAAUAAGAGGUUAUUUGUCUAGAAAAUAUAAAUGUUUGGGAGCUUAUUAUGAAUAAUUUACUAAAAGUCUGUUUACUUCAUUUUUCUAGUCCUUAUAAUAGCAAUAUUGUUUCAAUGUACUCAAACGACUGCCAGAGUGGUACCCAACUAAAAGAAGAGCCAUAAAAGAAUAUAACAUAACUAGUUUGAGCACUCUCCAUCAGCCAGCACUUAGAAACUCUUACCAGUGAAAACAAAAUCUUAGGGAGUAACAAUAUCUCUCCGCAGUAGGCCCUUAAAAUUAUACCACAGCUUCCAAAGGAAAAAGAGCUUGAGGUGCCCUACUUCUAGAGAUGAAAAACCUUGAAAGGAUGAAGUUCAAAGGACGAACUUACCAAAAUCACCAUAGGGGCAAAUGGCUUUGACUCUUUUGGUUGCUCAACUGGAACUGGAGAAUAACUUACACUCUGAACUUGGAACCUUAUCUGCAGUAGAACACCAAAAGUUAAUGCAAACCACAACUGGAAGUUUUAGCAUAAUUAUAGAACUGUUAAAAGAAUUAUACAACUUAAACCUUGUCUAUCCCAUCUAUAGGAAAUUUUUGUUCUUGAUUAUCCCGUAUCCAUAUGACUUGACUCCUGGAAUUCCAUAAAAGGCAAAAAAGUAGAACACUAUACAUACGGAUGUAAGGAGUAGCCGUGAAAUGAAUGAAAAAAACAAAAGAAAAAAAGAAUGCAAAUGGUGAAAUCCUAAACAAUCUAAUUUUAAUUCCAUUAAAAAGUUAAAUGUAGGUGAGAUUCUUUUAUGGGUUAGGCUCACAGUGGGAUGGAUUUGGCAUAAGAUGGACCAGUCUGUAGACGUCUUCAAAGAAUCCAAGAGAUACUGUCCAUUACAGAUUCGAUAUCAGCAGUAUGCAGAUAUUAAAUAGGUGUUAUUCAUGAUGAUGACACAAAAUAGAAUUCACCAUGUGCAUAGCAGCUAUUUUCACUGAUGAGAAGCCAAAGGAUGCCCUAAAACAAGGUUUAUUUUGAAAAACAAAAUUCUGAUAUCCACUCUACAUCUUCGAGAGGUAACUCACUGAGACAGGGUACAACUACGUUGCAUUAAGUAUUUGAAGAGCAACAUGAUCUUGGCCAUAAUGAAAAAGCAUAGCAGCAAAGCCCAUAAAAAUAAUAACCAACUAGAAAGGACUAAGCUAAGUAUCUAGCUAAGAUGAAAGAUCACACUCCAAUAAUCACAGGUAUUAUGCCCAAUGCUUCGGAAGCUGAUUCCUUAACUCAUGAGCAAUGUCAAGGAGCAACGAUUUUGUGAAAAGAGUAGUUAGGAAAAAGUAUAUGAAUAACAUGUUCCUUAACAAGAAGUGAUUUGGAUAUAACUGCUGAACUAAAAGUUAUAAAAGUGUUUUUAAACAAUCUUCAAUCUCUAGCUCUGAUAUUGCAACCAGUCUUUGGGAACCAAGAUGCCACUUUUACAACGGAGCUAGAGAAUGACUUAUAUGAAGAUAAAUGGCCUACAGGAUUCAACAGCAUUUCCCAGGUCUGGUACGAGUGCCAACGACUGGUACAUGUCAUUUUCAUCCAAAUACAUCAAUUGAAAUACCAUCGACUCCGUUUUCAUCUUGUCUGGACUAAUAUGAUACAGUUGAAAGCCCUACAAGGACAGGGGCAAGGGCAAGGCAAAGAAAGUAGUGAGAAAGGUGAAUAAAUUGUGCUUCCAUAAGUAAUAUGGCUCUAGACAUGGUGGAGCAUCAAAAAUGGAUUUCAAUAACUGAACCCAAGUAAUUGAGGCUCUGUCGAUUUGCUUAAUUUUGACUCAAGUUGCGUCAAUUCUCUGGUAGAAGAAAUGGAUUUUCACAAUCAGCCAUAAAAAUAGCAAAUAUAAGAAAAUGAUCUUUUUUACCAUUUACAUUUCCCCUGAUCCUGUGCUUUCAUUAACCCAAUAUGAUAUAAAUAUAAUUUUUAUUUUUUCUCAUUUUUUUCUUCUCUAGUUUAUUUCUCUCACAUUUAUUUCAAUUAUUUUAACUGGUUAAAUAAUUUAAAAACACAUAAGAUCUAACUUAUCCUAGUUGUAUUUAAUUUUCUUUCAAAUUUUCCAUAAUGAAACCAGAAAAUUUUCUUCCAUAGCCUACCCUAAUCAUUAUCACAUAUUUGCAUUAUGUUAUCAAAAUUGUUAUUAAUAUGGCUUUGAAGUAGCAGUUUGAAAAUUUGUCCAUAGACAUGAAAUUUGGAUUAAGCUGACCAGGUCCAAAAUUUUAGACUCAUUGUACCCUAAUUAUUUGAGUUGAGCACUCUGGUAGUCCACCAAAUAUGCCUUUAAAGAACUCCUUUUCAAGGGACUAACUCUCAUGUAUAAUGUAUUAUUCCUGACUUUUUCAGUGGAGAAGCAUUUUCCGAUCUAAAAACAGAGAAAAAGAAAAUUGCGUACAGAAAGAUCAGGUGACCCGGCCAGUAGCAGCAUUUCUUCGAUUUCUCACCAUUUCUGGACAAAUUUUAGGGAGAAAUGAUAGUGAAAUUGCAGAUCUAAGGAGCAGCAAAAUUUUUGCCCAUUCACUUUCAAAUCGAAGGUAGGCUUUUGCCACCUUGCUGUCCAAUUCCACCAUUCUGCACAAAUUGUUGAAAAAAAGGGGCCAAAUUACGCAGAAAUUCGAAGCCCGACUCCUGCAAAAUUGCAGAUCUAGAAACACCGAUCUCAACGUCGGUAGAAUCUGAAGCUACAAAUCAAUCAGAAACAGAGAUUAACAGAGGAAAGAAAACGAAGGAAAAUUCUGUACAUGUUGAGAGAGAGGGGAAAGAUGGAGGCCACCUCCAAUUCACGGCCAGCAUCACCAUUACCAUGAUCGAUCCGCUACUUCUGUACAAAUUUUUUUUGAAGAAAUUCAACUGAGAAAAAAAUUUGAUAAGAAAGAAACACUCAGAGCUCCGAAGGAAGCCAGGGGCCAGGGCUCAUCUCUACCUCUUCUUCAAUCUUCACUACUCAAUAAAAAGGAUCCAACCGACAGCCAAACAGGUACUUAUACACAUGUACAAUUUUCGAAUACUACGCGUUUCCACCGCGCGUCAAAGAACGUGCGCCAACUUCUUCCACGUCCGUCCACACAAGAUUUGAUCAAGAGAAGUAAAAAAAUGAAAAUCAUGGCAGAUGAAAGAAGAAAAAAUUUGAUCAAGAGACUCACAAAAAAAAUAAAAAAUAAAACCAGUUCGCAAUCUUAUUAUAUGAUUGACAUAAAAUUAAAAUAACAUUGUUGUUGAAAGCUAAAAAAUAACCCAUACACACAAGAUUUAGGAGGAGCGGUAAAGCCCGAAGAACCGAAGAAGCCUAUCGGCAUCAGUGAAGCGUGGAUGCGGAGCAUGGACGAUGACGGUCACCUCCUUUGUGGGUACUGGAAGAAGCAGAAGAAGGAGGGACUGGAGCUUUUCCCAUUAAAACAGCGUCCUGGCGAGUGGAUGGAGGGCAUGGGCGAUGGUCACCUCCAUUGCCGCCACCUAUAUGGGUACAGGAAGAAGCAGCAGAAGGAGGGACUGGAGCUUUUCCCAUUAAAACAGCGUCCUGAUGAGUGGAUCGGGGGCAUGGGCGAUGGUCACCCCCACUGCCGCCUCCUGUAUGGGUGCAGGAAGAAGCGGCAGAAGGAGGGACUGAAGCUUUUGCCAUUAAAACAGCGUCCUGAUGAGUGGAUGGGGGGCAUGGGCAAUGGUCACCUCCCUUGCCGCCACCUAUAUGGGUGCAGGAAGAAGCGGCAGAAGGAGGGACUGGGGCUUUUUCCAUUAAAACAGCGUCCUGAUGAGUGGAUGGGGGGCAUGGGCGGUGGUCACCUCCAUUGCCGCCACCUAUAUGGGUACAGGAAGAAGCAGCAGAAGGGGGGACUGGACCUUUAGCCAUUAAAGCAUCGUACUUAAGACUGCUAUCAACCCUAGCACCUCCCACAAGAGCUGUGGUGAGAAUGAACCAGACAGAGAUUGAGAAGGAGACCCAGACCCAACUGAUGACUUUGUUGAACAACUCCAUGUUGUAAUAUGAGUGCAAAAUCAUGAGUGAUGGAUGGGGAGGGGGUGGUUGGGUUUUAUAGACAAAUGCACUGUAAAUCUGCACCGGUAGGACAAGUGGGCAGUGUUCGGGAGCUUUGGGUAUAAGCUAGAUUUGGGAAUGUUUGGGAGCUUUGGGUAGAGUGACCCAAGUAUUGGCUGCAGAGAGAGUGGCAAGAAAGAAAAUGUCGACACGACAUCGGCGAUUUCCACCCCCCCAGAGCGCCCAAGAGAGUAGCAAUCCCCCCCUUUCCCCCCCACCGCCCAAGAGAGUAGCAAGGAAGAAAACGUCGACACGACAUCGGCGAUUUCCCCAUCUAGACUAACUUGCCUUUGUUAUAUAAUAUGUUUUAAUACAAUUGAAUUAAAUAAAUUAUAUUUUAAUAUUAAUAUAUAUUUUAAAAUUAAAUAUAUUAUAAUCAAAUAUCAUAAUAUUAUAUAUAAUUUAAUAAUAUAUAUAUAUAUAUAUAUAUAUAUAUAUAUAUAAAAUUUAUAUUUUUAUCGAUAUAUACGAUAUUAUUAUCAAAUAUGAUAAAUCAUAUUAUAAAUAUAUCAAAAUUUUUAAUAAAAUAAUUUUAAAAUAUUCAUUAUACUUUUAAUUAUAUUAUUAUGAGAUUUUUUUAUAUUUUUAUGAGUUUUUAAUAAUUUUAAAUUUAUCAAUAUUUUUUUUUAAAAUAUAUAUUGAUAUAUUUAUGAUAUAUCCAUAAAAUCAAUAUAUUUGUUAUUAUUAAUAUUUUCAUCAGAUAAUAGAUCCCUGGCCUUUGUUAAAAAAAUUCGACAAGCUUGAGGCUUGUGCUGCCUUCUAGAAAAAGUAGCAGAAGAAUUCAUCGAGGAUUGUGAAGAGUCCGAAGACUUGUGCUCCACUGGGAAGAACAAGUAGAAGAAUGAUUAGAUUCUUUGUCAUUAAUUGGGAGUGAAAAUUGAAAGCCAAAGGAACCUCAUGAAUUCACAAAAAUCUAUUGAGACGGAAAGUGGAAGAAUAUUUCCAAUUUGGGACCAAGCCUGAAAUGAUGUUCAAAGAAGAGAAUUCAUGGUAACUUUCCAUUGGCCUAUGACAUGAUAAGAUAGUUAGAGCCCUUAUGAUAAGACAUUGGUAGACUUUCUGAAAAUAUAAUGAUUUUAUAAAAUAAUAUUCCAAGAAUAGGGUGGAACGUAUGUUUUUGGGACCAUUUUUUUAAAACAUAAUUUUUUUUUAAAACAUCAAAUUAAUAUAUAUAUAUAUUUUUUACCUAUUUGAACUCAAAUUUUCAAAAAAAGAAAAGGAAAAAAAAGGAGAGUGUCACGAAGUGUGUUUGGCACGCUCUGCUAAAGGACGUGGUAGCAGCAGCCUGCGUCAAGAAAACGGCGUGAACGUUGCUUCCGCAAGUCUUCUAAUAAUCCAAACAAUUAAUAGAACAUGUGAAAAGGCAUUGACUAGUCAAAAAGGCGACUUAUCCUCAAAAGGGCGACUGAUCCUUAUUACCGUGACACAUACACCAUACACGCACCAGCACUAGGAUGAAAUGUUGCCGGACCUUGGAUUUUAUGAAAUUUUCAACAAAAAUACUUAUAUUCAUGUAAAUUUUUAUACAAAUAAAUUUGGGAAAGUUAGGUUUUGGAUUGGUGAUGCGGAAAAUAUAUGAUUUUGAAAAUUCAAUUUUACAUAUUUCAAAAUUGAUAAUGUAAUUAGAUAAUAUUUGGAGAAUCAUGCAUUUUCAGCUUAUGUGUAUUUUAAUGCUAAAAAUACCCUUCACCUUGCCAGCUAAGCAUUCGACAUCUGAAAAUUCUGAAAAGAAAAAACUCUCCGAAAAGCCACAAAGCCAAUAUCUCUCUCGUAUACUACUUUUCCCCUUCUCUCUCCCAUUCUCAAUCUCAUAAACCCAAAAUGUUGUAAAACCUAACCUCUUUCAUUUCUGUAACAUUCUCGUCUCCCAUUUUGUUGAUAAACAUCAACAACCCAAAACCUAACUUUCCCAAAAAAAAAAGUUAUAAUGCUGCGGAGGAGAAGAAUUUAUCAGGUGGAUGUGUUGGUAAAUGAGAAACGAAUCAGAAGGAAGAGACAAGGGACUACGGGAGGAAACCGGGAAAGGUGAUAUGAUAUCCUUUUUGUUCCCAAAUUACUUGAUCCAAAAACCCUAAUUUCUAAAACGAAGAUCAGAUCCGGGGAAAAUUGAUAAUCGGAAUCAAUGGUGGGUGCAUCGAGCUCAUGGUCUCGCGCAUUGGUUCAGAUCUCACCCUACACCUUCUUCGCCAUCGGUAUCGCCAUUGCCAUCGGCGUUUUCGUCUUAGGUGCCGCUUGGUACUUUCUCUUCCCUCCAUCCCUUGUAAAAUCCACCAAAAUAAAACAACUACUAAAAUUUUUGCAUUCUUGUCAAACCAGCGGAGGUUUAGGUUAAAUUGAUACAUUAUAUUUGUUUUUUUUUUUUUUUUUUUUGGAUCGUUGUUUUGAUGGUUGCGUUAUUGCUGCAUUUUUAGGGGAAUUUAUAUAACUGGAAGUAGUCUAAUUGGUGUUUCCAUCAAAGCUCCUCGGAUUACUUCAAAAAAUCUAAUUAGGUGCGUACUUCAACUUUCUUUCUUUUUUUCUCGCUGGUUUUAUGGAUCAUUGAUGUGGUAUUACAUGGACUAGUUCUCUAGACUUAUCAAAAAAAUAUUCGAAAGGAAAUUUUUUUCUUCAAAAUGAUUCCCUCAAAACAAGAAGAUUUUAUGAAUUUAUUCUUGUUGAUUCAGAUUCUGUAGAAGUUUCCCAUAUUCAAAACAGAGAUUCUACAAAAAUUUGUUAUUCAAAAUGCAAAAUUUUCAAAGUUAUUUUUGAACUUGAGUAGAGACAAUCUCUUGUCACCCAUAAAAUGUUUUCUCAAAAUUUUAAGCCAUCUUCAUAUGAUUAUUAUGAUUAUAUGGAUGCAUGGUUUUGUGUUUUUCUCUUUCGUCCAUUCGAUCAUUCCUAGUUAUUCCAUUAGUAUUUAAAUUUCAAACUUCCUUUCCAAAUUGGUUCCAAGAAUGGUGGUUAUACUUUGGCGCCAUUCCAACAAUUUUAUAUCCUCAAAUCAAACCAUCUUUUGAUUACUUCAAAGAGCAUGCAAAGGGUUUGAUCUCUGCUCGAUGUUCUCAAACUCUUUUCUUCACUUCUCGCUUUCAAAUUCCAUGAAUCUUGUGUUGAGAUUUUGUUCAAACACAUCUAAUUGAUCUUUUAUUUCCCGCGCAUUUGGCGUAUGAAUUCAAAGUUAAAUGGUGGUCAAACUUCUCCCCAUCUUCUGCUCAACAACUUUCUCAUAUAAAAAACUAGAUUGCAGCAAAGGCUCCCUCCAAUAUUCAAAAUCCUUUUUAACUUCAUUUUCUUCUAUAUGAAGGAAUUCCAACUUCAUCAACACCUUUAGUUGCACAUUCUUCCAUCAAGCUGUUGAGAGAACACCUCAAAAUGCUUCAGCAACGUGCGGUGGAAACCCUCUCUCAACUGGCUUCAAAUUUUGAUGAUGAUGAUUCAACCUCUUCAAUUCUCAAAGAGCCCCAAAAUGAAGACAUGUGUUAUAGCUUGCCAUACACAACGUUGGACUAAGAUGGAGUCCUUUCUCUUCAACAAUAUUCAAAAGCGUCAAAUCAACUUCAAAGCAAAAUACAAAACCACACAUCCAUAUAAUCAUAAUAAUCAUACGAAGAUGACUUAAAAUUUUGAGAAAACGUUUUAUGGGUGACAAGAGAUUGUCCCCACUCAAGUUCAGAAAUAACUUUGAAAAUUUUGCAUUUUAAAUAACAAAUUUUUGUAGAAUCUCUGUUUUGAAUAUGGGAAACUUCUACAGAAUUUGGAUUAACAAGAAUAAAUUCAUAAAAUCUUCUUGUUUUGAGGGAAUCAUUUGAAGAAAAUAUUUUCCUUUUGGAAAUUUUUUUGAUAAGUCUAAAGAACCAGACUUAUUGAGAUGAUGAACUUCGAAUAUUCGAACUUUCAUCAAAUGGGCUUUUGCAAUGUAAUUGCUUGGAGCCUGCUUUGAAGGUUGGGCUUGGGUCACUUGAUAAAAUGUUUGAGAAGGCUUAAGGAUAUUUCCUAAGACUUGAAAUUGGUUUGAAAUUUGGGUUUGAAAAAUAAUAACAAUAAUAAUAAACAAACAAAUAGCGAAUAUUUUAUGGAACCUUGACCAAGUCUAAUUCAAUCUUAUAUUAAACUUUUUUGAGUUGCAUUGGAACAAUUUCAAAUAAUUUGAGUUUUUUUUUUCUUAUUAUAUUAUUUAAAUUAUUAAAAUUAAUAAGACUUAUAUUUGUAAUUUUCAUUGUUAAAACAAAUAAACUUGGGAUUGAUGUUUUUAAAACUCUUCGAAAGAUUUUUCUAUUUUUUUUAAGAAAAAAAUAGUACGGAUAAAUAAAUGAAGUAAAAUAAAAAUAUGAAGUACUAUGAGGCUAGACAAAAGAAAUAAAAUACGGAAAAGAAGGUUGAAGAAGUGCAUGGAUAGGGAAAAAAGAGUUUAUGGAUGAUCACAAAAAACUUCAAAAGAUACUUUGCAAAUUCUCAACAUUUAAUUUCUCGUACUAAUUCUCACCUUUCAAUUUCUAGUUCCCAUAGUUUUUGUUAAUUAAUAAAAAUAAUAACAAUAAUAAACUAAUAAAUAAAAAUAAUCAUUUAAUGAAACCUCAGUCAAGUCCAAUUCAAUCUUGUAUUAAACCCUUUUUAGCAGUUUUAGAACAUUUUCCAACAUUUUGAAUUUUUUAAAUUAUUAAAAGUAAUAAAACUUAUAUUUAUAAUUAAUAUUUUUUUUUAAAAACCUUGGGAUUGAUAUUUUUAGAACCCAUUGAAAGGUUCUUCUUAUUCUGUUUUUUUAUUUUUUUACUUUUUAUUUUUUAUUUAUUUAUAAUUCUACAAGGCCGAAUGCUAUUGAUGAUCUACAAAAACAAUAUUGAUAAACAAAUCAACUAAUAAUGAAAUAGAAUAACUACGAAGUACUAUGAAAUAGGGAAAAAGAAAUAAAAGAACUUUAUAAAAUAUAAAAAAGCUGGUAGAAGAACUUAUGAUUAAGGAAAAUGAGUAUAUAGGCCACCGCAAAAGAUGAGAUACUAAUAUAUAUAUUUUAAUUAUCAACAUUCAAUUUCUUGAGCAAAUUCUCACAAGAUUUCUAGCUCACAUAGUUUUUACUUAAUAAUAUAAAUAAUAAAAAUAAUAAUACACAAAUAAAUAAAAAGUAAUUCAAUGAAGAAAAAGUUUAUUUGAAAACUUGGAAUAUUCUUCUAUCAUUUUUUAUGUUUCCAAAUAUUUCUUAAAAAUAACUUUUAUUUAUAGUAUUUUAUUUUCAAUUAUUCUCCGUAUUCAUACAAUUAUUUUUUAUAAUAACCCCCCAUAAAACAACUUAAAGCAAUUUAAACACAUUAUCAUAAAACAACCCAUUUUUAGAACAAAUUUUUAAAAACUGUUUUAUAAAAUUUUUUUUUGCCAAAUGUGCUUUUAAAUUUGAGCAAAAAUUCCAAGGUUGAUGAUAUUUCUUCUUGAUAAAAAUCAGAGCUAUAUCAAUAGCAGUUUCCCCUUCCAAUCAAAAUGAGAAACUGUUUCUAAAAUUUAAUUUUUAUCUCCUAUGAUAAGAAAAUUUAAAUCAUGCUAGGGGUAUGAUUUCCUUUACUGUUCCUGCUGCUUCUCCCUUUUCUUUUAACAGAUCACCACCAUGAAACAGGACUUAAACCAUCAUAAUCAAGUGAUCCCUGCUAAACAGAAAACAGAGCUAGGAGCAACUCCUUGUCAGAAAGGAACUGUCAUUUACAAAAGCAGCAAUCCUAACAAAUUCAAGAGACACCAUAAAGUUGAUUUUCAGAAAGACAAAGGUGCCUCACAUCAAUUGUUACAUUUUACAAAGACAUGUAAAUAGAUUUAAGGAUUGCCGAAGGACUACUAAUUUCCUUAUUGAAGAACUUAGAGCAUUGAGAUUGGAUUGGAAGAAGAAAACAAGCCAAAAUAAUCAGAAGCUGGCAUUCUCUUCCAGUGGGGCACAUCUAUAUAUACCUGACACUCUCAAUUAAUAGGAAGCACAUUUGAUGAAUAUCCCACAAGACAUCCACAUAUAUUUGUGUACAAGAAAUGCCUUUUUAUUUAAAACUAGUGCAAAUAGGAACCAGUUCGGAGCAUCCGGAAAGCGUCCAUCUCUACGAGCAUAUACGAUAUACUUGGAGAACUCACUGAAUCAAUCAGAUAUCCAAAUAUUGAAAUGAAUUUGGAUCUCUGUUUUUGGUAAUCUAAUGGGUGACUAAGGUCAAAUUGGGUGGAUCUGUCAAAAUUGUCUUACAGGCUUAACCUCCUUUUUUCUUAAUCACCUCUGGGAGUGUUAUUGCUCAAGCUAUAUUUGUUUCUUCCUUCAUAUAUAAGUGGUAUUUGCUGCUUUCACAGAAAUUCAGAGUAGCUCACUAGGUUCUAUAAAAGCAACCAAAACAUUUCCUGUACAAUAAAGUUGUCUUCCCCCCAUUUCCAUUCAUGCAUUCAUUGUUCAAAAAUAUCAUUUACAAACACAUUAGAAAAAAUAUGUUCUUAUUACCUAUGACAUAUGUAUAUAUUAGUAACAGAAAAAAGGGCCUUUUGGUAUGUAUAAAUUAAUGGAAUGCCUGAACAUAACAAGAAUAUGACAAAGAGUCCUAUAAAAAUGGGCCUUUGGUUUUUAUUUUUUUUACUUUAUGGAAUAACCAAUUUAUUGCACAAAGAAAAAAGGAAGAAGAUAAAAUCAAUAAACAUGCACAGUAUACAAAAAGCAAAGAAACGAAAAGACAACAGGUUUCUCAACAAGAGAAGAGAAAAUGAAAAACUACAACUUAGUGAAGUGAGAAAGCCUAUAAUAUAUUAACAGUGUCCUAGAUUAAGAGUGCCAUAUCAUAUAAAAUGAUGUCUAGAAAGAAAGAUUUCAAUAUCACCAACAUGAAAAACAAUUUCAUCUUCACCAGUGAAUAAACUUUUGGCUUACCACAAGUGGCAUCAACCCAUAAACUAAAGACUUAGUAUAGUAGGCAUAUCUAAUACACACACAUGUAUCUGUAUAUAUG